rnacentral:rRNA from 1 species
UACGUAGGUGGCAAGCGUUGUCCGGAUUUACUGGGCGUAAAGGGCGUGCAGGCGGUUUGUUAAGUGCAGAGUGAAAGCUCCCGGCUCAACUGGGAGAGGUCUUUGCAUACUGGCAAACUCGAGGGAGGCAGAGGAAAGUGGAAUUCCCGGUGUAGUGGUGAUAUGCGUAGAUAUUGGGAGGAACACCGGUGGCGAAGGCGGCUACCUGGACCGGUUCUGACGCUGAUGCGCGAAAGCGUGGGUAGCAAACGA